GACGUAGGGCGCAAGCGUUGUCCGGAAUUAUUGGGCGUAAAGAGCUCGUAGGCGGUCUGUCGCGUCGGCUGUGAAAACCCGGGGCUCAACCCCGGGCCUGCAGUCGAUACGGGCAGGCUAGAGUGCGGUAGGGGAGACUGGAAUUCCUGGUGUAGCGGUGAAAUGCGCAGAUAUCAGGAGGAACACCGGUGGCGAAGGCGGGUCUCUGGGCCGUAACUGACGCUGAGGAGCGAAAGCGUGGGGAGCGAACAGG
rnacentral:rRNA from 1 species